rnacentral:rRNA from 1 species
GACGACGGCUGGCGGCGUGGAUUAGGCAUGCAAGUCGAACGGUAUCAUCCUUUCGGGGGUGAGAGAGUGGCGAACUGGUGAGUAACACGUAGGUUAUCUACCCUCAAGACGGGACAACCCAGGGAAACUUGGGCUAAUACCGGAUGUGAGCAACUUUUAGUGUUUGAAAGGUGGCGUAAGCUGUCGCUUGGGGAUGAGCCUGCGUCCUAUUAGUUAGUUGGUGAGGUAACGGCUCACCUAGGCAAUGAUAGGUAGGCGGCCUUAACGGGUGGUCGCCCACACUGGGAUUGAGAUACGGCCCAGACUCCUACGGGAGGCAGCAGUCGAGAAUAGUCUACAAUGGUCGGAAGACUGAUAGUGCGACGCCGCGUGAACGAUGAAUCCCUUCGGGGUGUAAAGUUCUUUUAUAUGUGAGCAGUGCUUCUUAUAUUAACAGUAUGGGGAGAGAGAUAUUAGCAUAUGAAUAAGCAACGGCUAACUCCGUG